rnacentral:lncRNA from 1 species
GAGUUUUCUCUCACUUUUGUGAUUUUUUGUUUUGAUUAUAUACUCUUUUCUCACUCACAAUGCUUUUGUUCCUGUUCUAUACUUUUUCUACUCAUUUUUACUUUUGACUUUUUCUAGAUUUUUUUUUCGUACAUUUUUUUCUCACCUAUAAUUACUAUAUCACAUUAAUUUUUCCUUUUUCGGCUCUAAUAAUAAUUUUUUUAAACCAUCGUGAUGUAUCUACCUAAACCCUC